GCGUCUAUGGUCUAGAGGUAAGAUUCUUGCUUUGGGUGCAAGAGGUCCCGGGUUCGAACCCCGGUAGACGCC
rnacentral:tRNA from 1 species